rnacentral:rRNA from 1 species
AGUGAACGCUGGCGGUAGGCCUAACACAUGCAAGUCGAACGGCUGCACAGUAAUAGCUUGCUCUUACGGGUGGCGACUGGCGGACGAGUGAGGAGUACAUCGGUGUCUACUUUUUCGUGGGUGAGAACGUAGGGAAACUUACGCUAAUACCUCAUACGACCUAAGGGUGAAAUCAGGGGAUCUUCGGACCUUGCGCUAUGUCAUGUACCGAUGUCUGAUUAGUUAGUUGGCGGGGUAAAGGCCCACCAAGGCGACGAUGCGUAGCUGGUCUGAGAGGAUGAUCAGCCACACUGGAACUGAGACACGGUCCAGACUCCUACGGGAGGCAGCAGUGGGGAAUAUUGGACAAUGGGCGAAAGCCUGAUCCAGCCAUACCGCGUGGGUGAAGAAGGCCUUCGGGUUGUAAAGCCCUUUUGUUGGGAAAGAAAAGCAGCAGGUUAAUACCCCGCUGUUCUGACGGUACCAAAAGAAUAAGCACCGGCUAACUUCGUG